CUAUUAAGUAGAAAAUAAUCGUAUUGGUGUGUAAGUAUCACGUGAUAUUUUAUGAAAAUUAUUUUAAAAUGUUCGGUUACCGUGACGACUACGGAACGAAAUUACAUAACAAUGUACCAGGAGAUCAUAAGCCGCGCGGAGAUGGCCGUAUCCUAGAGCAACAGCUUGAGAGGACUGGUUAUUGAAAUAUAGGUCUUAUAUUCCGUAAAAUAGAGCUUAUUUUCAAGUAUAUGCUAGCUUCCAUUUAUUGAACGAUGGAGUAUAGUAAUAUUAAUAAGGGUGCAUGUCUGAUUGACCUGUGUAACGGAAUAGCUUUAUUCACACUAGUAUAUAUAAAUAGUAAUGGCUAUCUCAAUAGAACAUAAUGUAUUCAUAAUAAAUUAUCAUAAAUUUUAGAAAAAAAAUCUUUUUUUUUUCAACUAUAUCUAAAUAUUGUAAUUAAUCUUGGCUUUUGCGGG
rnacentral:misc_RNA from 1 species